rnacentral:rRNA from 1 species
GAAUAUUGGACAAUGGGCGAAAGCCUGAUCCAGCCAUGCCGCGUGUGUGAAGAAGGUCUUCGGAUUGUAAAGCACUUUAAGUUGGGAGGAAGGGCAGUAAGCUAAUACCUUGCUGUUUUGACGUUACCGACAGAAUAAGCACCGGCUACCUUCGUGCCAGCAGCCGCGGUAAUACGAAGGGUGCAAGCGUUAAUCGGAAUUACUGGGCGUAAAGCGCGCGUAGGUGGUUUUGUAAGUUGAAGGUGAAAUCCCCGGGCUCAACCUGGGAACUGCCUCCAAAACUGCAUGACUAGAGUACGGUAGAGGGUAGUGGAAUUUCCUGUGUAGCGGUGAAAUGCGUAGAUAUAGGAAGGAACACCAGUGGCGAAGGCGACUACCUGGACUGAUACUGACACUGAGGUGCGAAAGCGUGGGGAGCAAACAGG